AUACGUAGGUGGCAAGCGUUGUCCGGAAUUACGUGGGUGUAAAGGGAGCGUAGGCGGGCAGGCAAGUCAGGCGUUAAAUCCAUCGGCUCAACCGGUGGCUGCGCUUGAAACUGCAGGUCUUGAGUGAAGUAGAGGUUGGCGGAAUUCCUAGUGUAGCGGUGAAAUGCGUAGAUAUUAGGAGGAACACCAGUGGCGAAGGCGGCCAACUGGGCUUUUACUGACGCUGAGGCUCGAAAGUAUGGGGAGC
rnacentral:rRNA from 1 species